rnacentral:rRNA from 1 species
UGAACGCUGGCGGCGUGCCUAAUACAUGCAAGUCGAGCGAACAGAUAAGGAGCUUGCUCCUUUGACGUUAGCGGCGGACGGGUGAGUAACACGUGGAUAACCUACCUAUAAGACUGGGAUAACUUCGGGAAACCGGAGCUAAUACCGGAUAACAUAUUGAACCGCAUGGUUCAAUAGUGAAAGGCGGCUUUGCUGUCACUUAUAGAUGGAUCCGCGCCGUAUUAGCUAGUUGGUAAGGUAACGGCUUACCAAGGCAACGAUACGUAGCCGACCUGAGAGGGUGAUCGGCCACACUGGAACUGAGACACGGUCCAGACUCCUACGGGAGGCAGCAGUAGGGAAUCUUCCGCAAUGGGCGAAAGCCUGACGGAGCAACGCCGCGUGAGUGAUGAAGGUCUUCGGAUCGUAAAACUCUGUUAUCAGGGAAGAACAAAUGUGUAAGUAACUGUGCACAUCUUGACGGUACCUGAUCAGAAAGCCACGGCUAACUACGUGCCAGCAGCCGCGGUAAUACGUAGGUGGCAAGCGUUAUCCGGAAUUAUUGGGCGUAAAGCGCGCGUAGGCGGUUUUUUAAGUCUGAUGUGAAAGCCCACGGCUCAACCGUGGAGGGUCAUUGGAAACUGGAAAACUUGAGUGCAGAAGAGGAAAGUGGAAUUCCAUGUGUAGCGGUGAAAUGCGCAAAGAUAUGGAGGAACACCAGUGGCGAAGGCGACUUUCUGGUCUGUAACUGACGCUGAUGUGCGAAAGCGUGGGGAUCAAACAGGAUUAGAUACCCUGGUAGUCCACGCCGUAAACGAUGAGUGCUAAGUGUUAGGGGGUUUUCCCCCCCUUUAGUGCUGCAGCUAACGCAUUAAGCACUCCGCCUGGGGAGUACGA